GGGAUUGCCCCAGUAACGGCGAGUGAAGCGGCAACAGCUCAAAUUUGAAAUCUGGCCCCCCCGCGGGCCCGAGUUGUAAUUUGCAGAGGAUGCUUUUGGCGCGGCGCCUUCCGAGUGCCCUGGAACGGGACGCCAUAGAGGGUGAGAGCCCCGUCUGGUCGGACGCCCAGCCUCUGUAAAGCUCCUUCGACGAGUCGAGUAGUUUGGGAAUGCUGCUCUAAACGGGAGGUAUAUGUCUUCUAAAGCUAAAUACCGGCCAGAGACCGAUAGCGCACAAGUAGAGUGAUCGAAAGAUGAAAAGCACUUUGAAAAGAGGGUUAAACAGUACGUGAAAUUGUUGAAAGGGAAGCGCUUGUGACCAGACUCGGGCGCGGCGAAUCACCCGGCGUUCUCGCCGGUGCACUUCGACGCGCCCGGGCCAGCAUCAGCUCGCCGCGGGGGACAAAGGCGCCGGGAACGUGGCUCCCCAGGGAGUGUUAUAGCCCGGCGCGCAACGCCCCGCGGCGGACUGAGGUUCGCGCGUCCGCAAGGAUGCUGGCGUAAUGGUCACCAGUGACCCGUCUUGAAACACGGACCAAGGAGUCGUCCUCGUAUGCGAGUGUUCGGGUGUCAAACCCCUACGCGCAAUGAAAGUGAACGCGGGUGAGAGCCUCGCGGCGCAUCAUCGACCGAUCCUGAUGUUCUCGGAUGGAUUUGAGUAGGAGCAUACGGGGCCGGACCCGAUAGAAGGUGAACUAUGCCUGUGUAGGGUGAAGCCAGAGGAAACUCUGGUGGAGGCUCGCAGCGGUUCUGACGUGCAAACGAUCGUCAGACAUGGGCAUGGGG
rnacentral:rRNA from 1 species